rnacentral:rRNA from 1 species
CCUACGGGUGGCUGCAGUAGGGAAUAUUGGUCAAUGGGUGAGAGCCUGAACCAGCCAUGCCGCGUGCAGGAAGACGGCCUUCUGGGUUGUAAACUGCUUUUAUCUGGGGAUAAAAGGCCUUGCGAGGCACAUUGAAGGUACCAGAUGAAUAAGCACCGGCUAACUACGUGCCAGCAGCCGCGGUAAUACGUAGGGUGCAAGCGUUGUACGGAUUUAAUGGGGUUAAAGGGUGGUCAAGUAAGUCAGUGGUGAAAUCCAACAGCUCAACUGUUGAUGUGCCAAUGAUACUGAUGGACUUGAGUACAGACGAGGUAGGCGGAAUUGACAGUGUAGCGGUGAAAUGCAUAGAUAUUGUCAAGAACACCGAUAGCGAAGGCAGCUUGCUAGCCUGUAACUGACGCUGAGGCACGAAAGUUUGGGGAUCAAACAGGAUUAGAUACCCUGGUAAUC